CAGUCACACACAUGCACACACACACCUAGCUUGCUUCAUCAUAGUCAGACACACACACACCUAGCUAGCUUCAUCAUAGUCACACACGCACACAGGCAGCAAACAAGUUAACUUAGCUAAGUUAGGUACUUGCUAACUAAUGUUAGAUAGCUAGCUUGCUACUAGCUAGCAUCAAUUUUUUUUAGGUAAAUACUUUGCUUAUUCAAUGUGCUAGCUAUGAAUAUUGGGUCAUAUUAAUUACCCAGGUUCUGUUACUUUGACAGAUUUCCAUCAAAUAAUUAAUUUAAUCCAAAUUAUGCAUACAUUUAUGACUGACGGAGCCCAUGGUAACCAUGAAAACGUACAAAAACUUUAGUAGUGACUUAAGCUAAUAAAUAAAGAUAGCUGAGAAUACAGUUGAUGACAGUUGUUGAAAAACAAUUAACAAUACAUGUAUAUUCAUAAUAUAUGAGAACUACAUGUUUCAAUGAUUCAAUUUACCUGAGAAGAAUGAAAUCAGUUGCCUCUCCAUUUCUUCGCCCCAGGCAAGAUUGGCCGCCAUCUUGGUCGAUUUUCUUUAGCCAAGAGAAGUAGUCACAUGGCUAAAAUCUGUAUUCUGAUUGGAGGAUCCCAAAAAGUUGCCUACUGUGUUGCCCAAUCGAUCUAAUUUCCCAGAUAAUGAAAAGUUUCCGCUUUUCAAUAGAAAAUAUUGCCGGCAAUCGUCAGCAAUAUUGCUGCCCAAAAAAGUUGCCCGUGUAUCAUGGCCUUUAGUGUGCAGGCGGAGUGAUUAGAAAGUGAAUUGGGACCAGGCCAAAUUGAUAAGAAGGAGAACUCGGCUGAAAUCAAACCACUGCCAAACAUGGCACCGCUUACAAACUGCAUACUCAUAGUGGUUCUAAACUUUUUGUUUAGUGACACACCACACUAGUGGAGAGCGCAGUUCAGAUUCUGCAGUUGUGAUCGGAAAACAUAGAAUAGAUUGCCGCACCAAACUUUCACAAAUGGACAUCCGAUUUGAUUUCAGAGUCACUUGAGUUAAUUUAGUGUUGCAAAAAAAGAAGAAAGUAAGCUCGGGACGAAGGCAGCUUGCUGCCAAAACGUUGGAGAUAAAAAUCUGCAUUGGAGUAAACAGAGUGUGCGACCCUUUUUCUGAAGUACGUUGCCAUCAAAUUGCUAUAUUGAAACUACGACAAAUCGUUACAUUAUGCAACACCAUGUCACCACCACUCAAGUUUUAUCCGCCUGCACAAAACCUAGCUCGGAUGUACACAGCGUACUUCAUAUGGAUAUGUUAGUACUCUGGGUACGUGGAAACUCAUUUUUGCCUGAACCACCCCUGAAAGGUUAUCUACCCUGUUUCCAUAAGUUCUGGCUAAAUUGGCAGGUCUUUUCAAAGACAUGGCACAUAAAUAGGGAGUUGCAAAAAAUGACCAAUGGCAUGAUGCACCCCCCCAUCAGCACCUGGUAAUGGCACAAUAGGCUGCCACCACCAGAACACCAUGAUGCUCCAAAGGGCUUGUGUUCCAAAGGGUUGGUGCUCCAAAGGGCUGGAGCCCCAAAGGGCUUGUGUUCCAAAGGGUUGGGUGCACAGUACCCUCAUGCUCUGUGCAUCUGGUAUAGAUUAAUGAGCUGACUGGGCCAUGGGUGUAUGGAAGUCUGCUUUAGAGACAAAUAUCUAAACACAGACUAAAGGUGUGCCUUAUAUUCAUCCAAGACGAAUCGUAUUUGCAUCCACAGAGUCACACAGACUUUUCUGCAGCCGCCAAGAUGAACUGACCCAUAAAGGUAAACACACCUGUUUUUAUAAUGCAGAAGAUACUGAAUUUCAAGUAAAAGCCACAGUGUUAGUAUCACACACUAUAUUUAAUGUUUUUACAUCAAAGCAUCAAAACCAGUUAUAGAGAAAAAAACAUUUUUAAUUAGACAUACUAAAGACACCCUCUGUACCCUCUGAAGAGAGGGAAGCUUAUCAUAUGACCUGUUCAGCCCCAACAACCCCGUAAACAACAAUAAUCCUUGCUAAAGUUGCUCAGGUCAAAACAAAAAAAAAAUUACAUGUUAAAUAUACUUCAAAUAUAAUCACACAUUUUACUAUAUUUGUCCAUACAGCACAAAACAAAUUAAAUUACUGGGCAUUUAGCUUUAUGUAUACAAAAGCUGACAAGUGGGAAUCUCCUCAACCCCCCCACCCCCCACCCCACA